UUAAAAUGCCUGUAUCAUGUGUUGUUCUGUAGAAAUACUUCUUUUACUCAAUAACAGUCUAUUAGCCUUGCAUUCCCUGUUGUUAUAGAUACUACUGGUUUGGCUGAGAGACUGAAGGUGGCACAGGACACAGUGGCAAACCAGCUUGCUGAAGAGCUCAAACUUAUGUCUCUUAAUGUUUGGUCAGGAGAUACGUUACAAGAACAGCUUGACAAUAUACGCAUGGGUUGUGUGCGGGAUGGCUCCACUUUCAUCUACAAGCUCUGGAAAUCUGUACUUCACCAUUGGUUUAGUGAUCCUGAUCGUAGAAUCUACAUAGUAACACCAUUCCUGGAUGCUUCCCGACUUGUUGAGGUCUGCAACAUCAUACUUGAACAUCGUCUGGAAGCAAAUCUAGAUGCAUUUUACGUACGACAGAAGUGCGACUAUACCAGAGAUAUAUUUGAAGUAAAACAGAAUGCGUUAGAAAAAUAUGAUGCAAAGGACCAAAUGUUUAUAGAAUACAAAAUAUUUUCCAAUAUCAUUUGUCCACUUAAAAGAUUUCAUGCAAAAUUUAUAGGUUGUAUCAAAGGAAAUGAAGCAGAAGUAUUGAUCACAAGUGCCAAUUUCCAUGGCGACCAUUUUGAAUAUAGCAACAUGGACAGUGUACAGUAUCAGACAAUGUCUGAUGUAGAAUUUAUAACUAGGUUUCUACAGCCAAUCAAUGCAUCUGUUCUGGAGAGGAAAUAGCUUGCUGCCUUGUAGAUAGACCAAGGCAACUUUGAAUUUCCUCUUGGCACUCUUGGUGACAUUGGCUUAAUAUUGAAAGAAGGGUAUUUUAUGCAUUUGAAGCUACUUUUCAGGGGAAAAUUACAUUCUAAAAUGUUUAGUUUCAGUAUUAUAUGUAAUAAAUGUGUGUUAGUUAAGUGACUGUUUUCACAAAAAUGAGUUGCAUUCAUGUUUACUAAGUUUAGUAUUACACAAUGAACACUUGUUAUAGUUAUGGAAAUAUAUUUUGUUAUUGCAAACAAGUGUAGUCACGAAUAGAUAGUAAUCAGCAGUAACAAGCAAGAAAAAAGUUGAAAAAGUGUGCUGAAACAAAUAUGUCCUUUUACAGGAAAUCCUAAUGUCUGCAGUAGUAUAUGUAAAAAUGUUUAGCACUCUAAAUUAUUAUAACACCAUUGUUUAUGGGUCCAUUCUUGCUUAAUUACUAUAUUGAAUGACACCGCAAACCUUUACUUACACAAUCACCAAAGUGUCUAUAAUUUGGUAUGGAUCACAUGUUAAAGUGAAAAUAGGUAGAAAAUGUUAUAGCCAUCACAAUCAAUUUUCAAAUUUCUUAAGAAUGAACUGUCUGAAUAAAUGUGUUAAAUAAGGACCAGUUUGCAACUGGAGUGCACAUGAUCUUAAUUUGUUGUUAUUCAAAGAUCUCCCAGAAAAGUGUAAAAUUUGAGUUGAAAAAAAGAGGGGUAAAAUUAGCUUAUUUUUAGCUCAACUAUACAAAGUAUAAGGAGAGCUAUCCUACUCACCCCAGCAUCAGCAUCGGUGUCUUUCCACAUCUCCACCUUGGUUAAAGUUUUUAUUGCACUUUCUCUUUUUUCUGCUUACCUCUGUAAUUACUUGAUGGAUUUGCUUUAAACUUAAAAUAGUUAUUCCUCAUCAUCACCCACAUCAUCUGGCAUAAGGGCCAUAAAUCUCAUACCAAUAUUUCAUGAAUUAUCCCCCUUUUUUACUUAGAAUUUCAGGUUAAAGUUUUGGUGCACUUUCACUCUAUCUCAGUUAUUAUUACAUGGAUUUAAUUCAAGUUUAAAAUAGUUGUUCCACAUCAUCACCCACAUCAUAUGACUCAAGGUGUCCAUAACUGUGGCACCAGUUUUUCAUGAAUUAUACCCCCUUUUUACUUGAAAUUUCAGGUUAAAGUUUUGGUGCACUUUCACUCUAUAUCUCAGUUAUAACUAAAUGGAUUUGAUUAAGACUUAAAAUAAUUGUUCCACAUCAUCACCCACAUCAUAUGACACAAGGAUCAGAACUCUGGUACCAAUAUUUCAUGAAUUAUGCCCCCUUUUUACUUAGAAUUUCAGGUUAAAGUUUUGGUGCACUUUCACUCUAUCUCUAUUACUAAAUGGAUUUGAUUCAGACUUAAAACAAUUGUUCCACAUCAUCACUCACAUCAUAUGACACAAGGGUCAUAACUCUGGUACCAAUAUUUCAUGAAUUAUGCCCCCUUUUUACUUAGAAUUUCAGGUUAAAAUUUUGGUGCACUUUCACUCUCUAUCUGUUAUUUCCAAACAGAUUUGAUUCAGACUUAAAAUAAUUGUAGCACAUCACCCACAUUAUGUGACACAAGGGCCAUAACUCUGGCACCAAUAUUUCAUGAAUUAUGCCUCCUUUUUUACUUAGAAUUUCAGGUUAAUGUUGGUGCACCUUUAACUUUAUCUGUGUUAUUACUUAAUAAAUUUGAUUUAAACUUAAAACAGUUCUUCCACAUUGUUGUCCUCAUCAUAUGACACAAGGUCCAUAAUUUUGGCACAAAUAUUUAGUGACUUAUGUCCCUUUUUACUCAGAAUUUCAGUUUAAUUUUGAUGCUUUUUCACUAUAUUUCUGUUGUUACUAAAUGGAUUUUAUUCAAACUUAAAACGGUGGUGCCACACGGUCACCAACAUCAUAUGACACAAUGUUCAUGAUGCUGGCACCAAAUUGCUGAGUUAUACCCCCUUUUUACUAGAAUUUCAGGUUCAAGAUGCACGUCUGUUCUAUCUCACUUAUUUGAUUAAAACUUCUAAUAGUUACUCCACAUUAUUAGCCAAAUGAUAUUACACAAUGUCCUGGUACAUUACUUUUGCAGAAUUAUACUUAUUUAAUGUUUUGAUACACUUCUCUAUCCCUGUUAGACACAGACUGUUCCAUUUGACACAGACUUAAGCUUUUGUCCAAUAUAUUCAUCCACAUUGGAGUAAUUAAACACUUCAAUGACAGCUCCAGCUUCCUCACAUGUGCCUAGUUUCACUAUCCUGCAUUGAAAUAGUGGAGCACGCUGUCUCCUGUGACAGCUCUUGUUUCAAAUAGUGUUAGUUGAGAUUGAUUUAAGAGGUAAUAAAAUGAUGAGCAUUCUGUAUUUUGAAGUUAUUUUCUGGGGGUAUGUAUUACUAAACUGAUACUGUUUUCAAUAAAAAGCAUUUUGUUUGGACAAAUAUUUUAUACAUUAUUUCAGCAAAAUUUUAUUUUAAACCUAUAUAUGCUUAUGAUACAGAUUUAUGUGACAUUAUUAGCAGUUAUAAGAAAAUAAAACAAUGAACUGUUACACUGUGCUUUUAGAUAACAUUACUAGAUUGAGAGCAUUUUAAGACUUAAAAAGUAUAUUCUGGUUAACUUUCAUUUUUAGCUCACCUGUCACAAAGUGACAAGGUGAGCUUUUGUGAUCGUGCGGUGUCCGUCGUCCGUCCGUGCGUCCGUCCGUAAACUUUUACUUGUGACCACUCUAGAGGUCACAUUUUUCAUGGGAUCUUUAUGAAAGUUGGUCAGAAUGUUUAUCUUGAUGAUAUCUAGGUCAAGUUCGAAACUAGGUCACGUGCAAUCAAAAACUAGGUCAGUAGGUCUAAAAAUAGAAAAACCUUGUGACCUCUCUAGAGGCCAUAUAUUUCAUGAGAUCUUCAUGAAAAUUGGUCAGAAUGUUCACCUUGAUGAUAUCUAGGCCAAGUUCGAAAAAUGGGUCACGUGCCUUCAAAAACUAGGUCAGUAGGUCUAAAAAUAGAAAAACCUUGUGACCUCUCUAAAGACCAUAUUUUUCAUGGGAUCUGUAUGAAAGUUGGUCUGAAUGUUCAUCUUGUUGAUAUCUAGGCCAAGUUCGAAACUGGGUCACGUGCGGUCAAAAACUAGGUCAGUAGGUCUAAAAAUAGAAAAACCUUGUGACCUCUAUAGAGGCCAUAUAUUUCAUGAGAUCUUCAUGAAAAUUGGUCAGAAUGUUCACCUUGAUGAUAUCUAGGUCAGGUUCGAAAGUGGGUCACAUGCCAUCAAAAACUAGGUCAGUAGGUCAAAUAAUAGAAAAACCUUGUGACCUCUCUAGAGGCCAUAUUUUUCAUGGGAUCUGUAUGAAAAUUGGUCUGAGUGUUCAUCUUGAUGAUAUCUAGGUCAGAUUCGAAACUGGAUCACGUGCGGUCAAAAACUAGGUCAGUAGGUCUAAAAAUAGAAAAACCUUGUGACCUCUCUAGAGGCCAUAUAUUUCAUGAGAUCUUCAUGAAAAUUGGUCAGAAUGUUCACCUUGAUGAUAUCUAGGUCAAGUGUGAAAGUGGGUCAUGUGCCUUCAAAAACUAGGUCAGUAGGUCAAAUAAUAGAAAAACCUUGUGACCUCUCUAGAGGCCAUAUUUUUCAUGGGAUCUGUAUGAAAGUUGGUCUGAAUGUUCAUCUUGAUGAUAUCUAGGUCAAGUUCGAAAGUGGGUCACGUGCCCUCAAAAACUAGGUCAGUAGGUCAAAUAACAGAAAAACCUUGUGACCUCUCUAGAGGCCAUAUUUUUCAUGGGAUCUGUAUGAAAAUUGGUCUGAAUGUUCAUCUUGAUGAUAUCUAGGUCAAGCUCGAAACAGGGUCAUUUGCGGUCAAAAACUAGGUCAGUAGGUCUAAAAAUAGAAAAACCUUGUGACCUCUCUAGAGGCCAUACUUGUGAAUGGAUCUCCAUAAAAAUUGGUCAGAAUGUUCACCUUGAUGAUAUCUAGGUCAAGUUUGAAACUGGGUCACGUGCCUUAAAAAACUAGGUCAGUAGGUCAAAUAAUAAAAAAAACCUUGUGACCUCUCUAGAGGCCAUACUUUUCAUGGGAUCUGUAUGAAAGUUGGUCUGAAUGUUCAUCUUGAUGAUAUCUAGGUCAAGUUUGAAACUGGGUCAACUGCGGUCUAAAACUAGGUCAGUAGGUCUAAAAUUAUUAAAAUCUUUUGACCUCUCUAGAGGCCAUAUUUUUCAAUGGAUCUUCAUGAAAAUUGGUCAGAAUGUUCACCUUGAUGAUAUCUAGAUCAGUUUCGAAACUGGGUCACGUGCGGUCAAAAACUAGGCCUGUAGGUAUAAAAAUAGAAAAACCUUGUGACCUCUCUAGAGGCCAUAUUUUUCAUGAGAUCUUCAUGAAAAUUAGUGAGAAUGUUCACCUUGGUGAUAUCUAGGUAAAGUUCAAAACAGGGUCACGUACCUUCGAAAACUAGGUCAGAAGGUCAAAUAAUAGAAAAACCUUGUGACCUAUCUAAAGGCCAUAUUUUUCAUGGGAUCUGUAAGAAAAUUGGUCUGAAUGUUCAUCUUGAUGAUAUCUAGGUCAAGUUUAAAACAAGGUCAUGUGCAGUCAAAAACUAGGUCAGUAGGUCUAAAAAUAGAAAAACCUUGUGACCUCUCUAGAGGCCAUACUUUUGAACGGAUCUCCAUAGAAAUUGGUCAGAAUGUUCACCUUGAUGAUAUCUAGGUCAAGUUUGAAACUGGGUCACGUGCCAUAAAAAACUAGGUCAGUGGGUCAAAUAAUAAAAAAAACAUUGUGACCUCUCUAGAGGCCAUACUUUUCAUGGGAUCUGUAUGAAAGUUGGUCUGAAUGUUCAUCUUGAUGAUAUCUAGAUCAGAUUUGAAACUGGGUCAACUGCGGUCAAAAACUAGGUCAGUAGGUCUAAAAUUAUUGAAAUUUUUUGACCUCUCUAGAGGCCAUAUUUUUCAGUGGAUGUUCAUGAAAAUUGAUCUGAAUGUUCACCUUGAUGAUAUCUAGGUCAGUUUCGAAACUGGGUCACGUAUGGUCAAAAACUAGGCCAGUAGGUAUAAAAAUAGAAAAACCUUGUGACCUCUCUAGAGGCCAUAUUUUUCAUGAGAUCUUCAUGAAAAUUAGUGAGAAUAUUCACCUUGAUGAUAUCUAGGUAAAGUUCAAAACAGGGUCACGUACCUUCGAAAACUAGGUCAACAGGUCAAAUAAUAGAAAAACCUUGUGAACUCUCUAGAGACCAUUUUUUUCAAUGGAUCUUCAUGAAAAUUGGUCAGAAUUUUUAUCUUGAUAAUAUCUAGGUCAAGUUCAAAACUGGGUCACAUGAGCUCAAAAACUAGGUCACUAUGUCAAAUAAUAGAAAAAAAGACGUCAUACUCAAAACUGGGUCAUGUGGGAAGAGGUGAGCGAUUCAGGACCAUCAUGGUCCUCUUGUUUGACAAACUUUCCUAGAUGAUACCUUUACUUGGUACCAGUCAUUGUAAACAAUGUCUUACUUUAGAUAGUUUCUCUUGUACUAAAUACAAAAAGAUUUUGUUUAUUCAGCACAUACACAAUACACGUAUUUGAAAAGUUAAAAGAUGUUCUUAAGGUGCAAAACCUUUUUGGCAUUUGUGUACCACAUGAUUUAGUUCCCUUUCCAGAAAUAAUGAUUGUUUGUAGAGUGAGUCAUAUAUUUUAGGGUUAAAUCAAAGUAAUUUAAAGUCCUGACAUCCAUGUACUUGGAGCAUUCACAUUUUUAGCUCACCUGUCACAAAGUGACAAGGUGAGCUUUUGUGAUCGCGCAGUGUUCCGUCGUCCGUCCGUGCUUCCGUCCGUCCAUAAACUUUUGCUUGUGACCACUCUAGAGGUCACAUUUUUCAUGGGAUCUUUACGAAAGUUGGUCAGAAUGUUCAUCUUGAGGAUAUCUAGGUCAAGUUUGAAACUGGGUUACGUGCCUUCAAAAACUAGGUCAGUAGGUCUAAAAAUAGAAAAACCUUGUGACCUCUCUAGAGGCCAUAUAUUUCACAAGAUCUAUAUGAAAAUUGGUCAGAAUGUUCACCUUGAUGAUAUCUAGGUCAAGUUCGAAACUGGGUCACGUGCCUUCAAAAACUAGGUCAGUAGGUCUAAAAAUAGAAAAACCUUGUGACCUCUCUAGAGGCACUUAUUGCACAAGAUCUUCAUGAAAAUUGGUCAAGAACGGUCACCUUGAUGAUAUCUAGGUCCAGUUGGAAACUGGGUCACGUGCCUUCAAAAACUAGGUCAGUAGGUCAAAUAAUAGAAAAACCUUGUGACCUCUCUAGAGGCCAUAUUUUUUCAUGGGAUCUGUAUGAAAGUUGGUCUGAGUGUUCAUCUUGAUGAUAUCUAGGUCAAGUUCGAAACUGGGUCACGUGCGGUCAAAAACUAGGUCAGUGGGUCUAAAAAUAGAAAAACCUUGUGACCUCUCUAGAGGCCAUAUAUUUCAUGAGAUCUUCAUGAAAAUUGGUCAGAAUGUUCACCUUGAUGAUAUCUAGGUCAAGUUCAAAAGUGGGUCAUGUGCCUUCAAAAACUAGGUCAGUAGGUCAAAUAAUAGAAAAACCUUGUGACCUCUCUAGAGGCCAUAUUUUUCAUGGGAUCUGUAUGAAAGUUGGUCUGAAUGUUCAUCUUGAUGAUAUCUAGGUCAAGUUCGAAAGUGGGUCACGUGCCCUCAAAAACUAGUUCAGUAGGUCAGAUGAUAGAAAAACCUUGUGGCCUCUCUAAAGGCCAUAUUUUUCAUGGGAUCUGUAUGAAAAUUGGUCUGAAUGUUCAUCUUGAUGAUAUCUAGGUCAAGCUCGAGACAGGGUCAUUUGCGGUCAAAAACUAGGUCAGUAGGUCUAAAAAUAGAAAAACCUUGUGACCUCUCUAGGGGCCAUACUUGUGAAUGGAUCUCCAUAAAAUUGGUCAGAAUGUUCACCUUGAUGAUAUCUAGGUCAAGGUUGAAACUGGUUCACGUGCCUUAAAAAACUAGGUCAGUAGGUCAAAUAAUAAAAAAAACCUUGUGACCUCUCUAGAGGCCAUACUUUUCAUGGGAUCUGUAUGAAAGUUGGUCUGAAUGUUCAUCUUGAUGAUAUCUAGGUCAAGUUUGAAACUGGGUCAACUGCGGUCUAAAACUAGGUCAGUAGGUCUAAAAUUAUUAAAAUCUUUUGACCUCUCUAGAGGCCAUAUUUUUCAAUGGAUCUUCAUGAAAAUUGGUCAGAAUGUUCACCUUGAUGAUAUCUAGAUCAGUUUCGAAACUGGGUCACGUGCGGCCAAAAACUAGGCCUGUAGGUAUAAAAAUAGAAAAACCUUGUGACCUCUUUAGAGGCCAUAGUUUUCAUGAGAUCUUCAUGAAAAUUAGUGAGAAUGUUCACCUUGAUGAUGUCUAGGUAAAGUUCAAAACAGGGUCACGUACCUUCGAAAACUAGGUCAGAAGGUCAAAUAAUAGAAAAACCUUGUGACCUCUCUAGAGACCAUAUAUUUCACAAGAUCUAUAUGAAAAUUGGUCAGAAUGUUCACCUUGAUGAUAUCUAGGUCAAGUUCGAAACUGGGUCACGUGCCUUCAAAAACUAGGUCAGUAGGUCUAAAAAUAGAAAAACCUUGUGACCUCUCUAGAGGCACUUAUUGCACAAGAUCUUCAUGAAAAUUGGUCAGAACGGUCACCUUGAUGAUAUCUAGGUCCAGUUGGAAACUGGGUCACGUGCCUUCAAAAACUAGGUCAGUAGGUCAAAUAAUAGAAAAACCUUGUGACCUCUCUAGAGGCCAUAUUUUUCAUGGGAUCUGUAUGAAAGUUGGUCUGAGUGUUCAUCUUGAUGAUAUCUAGGUCAGAUUCGAAACUGGAUCACGUGCGGUCAAAAACUAGGUCAGUGGGUCUAAAAAUAGAAAAACCUUGUGACCUCUCUAGAGGCCAUAUAUUUCAUGAGAUCUUCAUGAAAAUUGGUCAGAAUGUUCACCUUGAUGAUAUCUAGGUCAAGUUCAAAAGUGGGUCAUGUGCCUUCAAAAACUAGGUCAGUAGGUCAAAUAAUAGAAAAACCUUGUGACCUCUCUAGAGGCCAUAUUUUUCAUGGGAUCUGUAUGAAAGUUGGUCUGAAUGUUCAUCUUGAUGAUAUCUAGGUCAAGUUCGAAAGUGGGUCACGUGCCCUCAAAAACUAGUUCAGUAGGUCAGAUGAUAGAAAAACCUUGUGGCCUCUCUAAAGGCCAUAUUUUUCAUGGGAUCUGUAUGAAAAUUGGUCUGAAUGUUCAUCUUGAUGAUAUCUAGGUCAAGCUCGAGACAGGGUCAUUUGCGGUCAAAAACUAGGUCAGUAGGUCUAAAAAUAGAAAAACCUUGUGACCUCUCUAGGGGCCAUACUUGUGAAUGGAUCUCCAUAAAAAUUGGUCAGAAUGUUCACCUUGAUGAUAUCUAGGUCAAGGUUGAAACUGGUUCACGUGCCUUAAAAAACUAGGUCAGUAGGUCAAAUAAUAAAAAAACCUUGUGACCUCUCUAGAGGCCAUACUUUUCAUGGGAUCUGUAUGAAAGUUGGUCUGAAUGUUCAUCUUGAUGAUAUCUAGGUCAAGUUUGAAACUGGGUCAACUGCGGUCUAAAACUAGGUCAGUAGGUCUAAAAUUAUUAAAAUCUUUUGACCUCUCUAGAGGCCAUAUUUUUCAAUGGAUCUUCAUGAAAAUUGGUCAGAAUGUUCACCUUGAUGAUAUCUAGAUCAGUUUCGAAACUGGGUCACGUGCGGCCAAAAACUAGGCCUGUAGGUAUAAAAAUAGAAAAACCUUGUGACCUCUUUAGAGGCCAUAGUUUUCAUGAGAUCUUCAUGAAAAUUAGUGAGAAUGUUCACCUUGAUGAUGUCUAGGUAAAGUUCAAAACAGGGUCACGUACCUUCGAAAACUAGGUCAAUAGGUCAAAUAAUAGAAAAACCUUGUGACCUCUCUAGAGACCAUAUUUUUCAAUGGAUCUUCAUGAAAAUUGGUCAGAAUUUUUAUCUUGAUAAUAUCUAGGUCAAGUUCAAAACUGGGUCACAUAAGCUCAAAAACUAGGUCACUAUGUCAAAUAGUAGAAAAAACGACGUCAUACUCAAAACUAGGUCAUGUGGGAAGAGGUGAGCGAUUCAGGACCAUCAUGGUCCUCUUGUUAUAUGUUUAUUGCCUCGCCUGUGCUGAUGGUUAAGUUUUAAAUUUUAUCAGUGUUGUGAGAUAGUUCAUUAUUUUAGUAGAUAGUAUAUCAUUUGAAAUUCAUGUUUUUUUCAUGUGUAUUUGUGAGUUGGUUUUUUAGAUGUCUUUGUUAUUACAGGAAGUAUAACUUGUUAAGAUUGAGAUUUGGAAGACCUUAUCUUGAUUUUUUCAAUAGGCAGGUAUUUGUUAUUGGUUCGUAACAUGUAUACAAAAUAAUAGACUGUGAUAUUUUAUACAAUAAUCCAUCCAUAUACCCAUAUAGAACUUUUCAUUUGCUUAUAUUUAGUGAAUUCUGUCCAAGGUGUUGAUGCUCAUGUAAGUCACUGAGAAUGAAUUGGAAAUUAGUUACCAAACAAAAAACAACUUUUAACAAAGCACUUGAAAAAAAAGAGACAAAUGUUUUAAAGAUGUCUGUUGAAGUACUUGCACUACUACCGGUACUUACAGGUAUGAAGGUAGGAUUGUGAAUAAUUAUUGUUACACAAUUUUUAUACCCCCACAAAACGAAGUUUGGAGGGGUAUAUAGGAGUGAGCUUGGCGGUCAGUUGGUCGAUCGGUCGGUCCUUUGGUUUUGCAUGGUUUCCGGAUGAUAACUCAAGAAAGGCUUGACCAAUUUAAAUAAUUUUUGGUAAACAGGUGUAACAUCAGAAAAUACAGGUCAGGUUCGAAUUUGGGGUCAGUAGGUCAAAGGUCAAGGUCACAGUGACCCUGAACAGUUAAAUGGUUUCCGGAUGAUAACUUGAGAACGCUUGGGUUAGGAUCAUAAAUUUUGGUACACAGGUGUAACAUAAAAUGCAGGUCAAGUUCGACUUUGAGGUCUAUAGGUCAAAGGUCAAGGUCACAGUGACUUGGAACAGUUAAACGGUUUCCAGAUGAUAACUUGAGAAUGCUUGGGCCUAGGAUCAUGAAAAUUGAUAGGGAGGUUGGUUAUGACGAGAAUGCUUGGGCCUAGGAUCAUGAAAAUUGAUAGGGAGGUUGGUUAUGACUAGCAGAUGACCCCUAAUGAUUUUGAGGUCAGUAGGUCACAGGUCAAGGUCACAGUGACCCAGAACAUUUAAACAGUUUUCAGACAAUAACUUGAGAAUGCUUGGGACUAGGAUCAGGAAACUUAAUCUAGAGGUUGAUCAUGUCAAGCAGAUGACCCAUAUUAAUUUUGAGUUCCAAAGGUCAAAGGUCAUUUAAACCUUUUACUGACAAUAACUUGAGAACGCUUGGGCGGAGGAUCAUGAAAUUUCAUAGGGAGGUUGAUCAUGAGUAGCAGAUGACCUCUUUUGAUUUUGUGGUCAGUAGGUCAAAGGUCAAGCAAGUUCGGCUUUGACAUUGGCUUAGUUCUGUGAAAAGGCCAUAUUGUGGGGGUAUAAUUCGUCACUCCUGUGACAACUCUAGUUACGAUUGCUUGCCUAAUAUUGUAUUGAUCUGCUAGGAUCAUCAAUACAGAGUUGUGUUAGGCUAGUACAUUCUUCGAUUAAUUUUUCAUUUUUAUUAUAUGCCCAUCUCUGAAAGAGUGGGGCGUAUUAUGUGAACAACCGUGGUGGGCAGGCGGCGUCCAACAACAUGUCCGCUCUCUAAGUCAAAAAGUUUUCAUCCAAUCUUCACCAAACUUGGUGACAGUGUUUGUGGGCAUAAUAUCUCGGCCAAGUUUGAUAACAGCCAAAUCGCCUCAGGCACUCUUGGAUAAUGGCCCUUGAAUUACUCCACAAACUUCGAAUUUAGCCUUGUCUGCUCCCUUAGUCGAACAGUUUUCAUUUGAUCUUCCACAAACUCGCAGAUAAUGUUUGUGAGCAUAAUAUCUCAGCCAAGUUCUAUAACCAGCCAAAUCCCCCCCAGGCACUUUUGGAUUAUGGCCCUUGAAUUACUCAAAAUCUGCGAAUUUAGCCUUGUCCGCUCCCUAAGUCAUACAGUUUUCAUCCGAUCUUUCACAAACUCGCAGAUAAUGUUUGUGGGCAUAAUAUCUGUCAAGUUCGAUAACCAGCUAAAUCCCCUUAGGCACUUUUGGAUUAUGGCCCUUGAAUUACUCAUAAUCUGUGAAUUUAGCCUUGUUUGCUCUCUAAGUCGAACAGUUUCCAUCCGUUCUUCACCAAACUUGUUGACAGUGUUUGUGAGCAUAAUAUCUCGGCCAAGUUAGAUAACCAGCCCUCUUGGAUUAUGGCCCUUGAAUUAGGCCAAGUUCCAUGACGGGCGUAUUUUGUGACAUUCUGCCACUCUUGUUUGAAACUGGAUAAAAAUCAAACACCUUGAAUGCAUUUUGUUCACUUAACAAUACAGCUUGAUUCAGAAAAUGUUAAUUCAAGAGAAAACAUAUUUUGCUACAGGUACUAAAAUCAAACGGGAACAUUGUGUUUGUGCCUUUUAAACAUCAUGUUGUCAUUUCUGUCAACUGAAGUUAAUAUUCAGAAUUUCAUUUUAUUUUGAUUUAAACUGGCCAAAAAUACUUUUUUUCACAGCUAAAAUGCAUAAUGAAGAAACACAUGACUUGUACAGUAGCAGGCAGUCUUGGGUUGAUAUGCAUGUGACAAAAAUAUAGAAAGCUCACCAAAGCUCUCUUUUUUCAAGUUUUUACUUACAUUUGCAUAUUUGCCUUACAUAGCCAGCUACUGUAUGUGUAAUUCUUAUGUACAUGUAUACAUUUGUACUGUAAUAUUUAUGAAUACUGAAACUGUUUUGCAAGUUUAGAAAGAUAUAUCCUGCAUGCACUCUGUGAUACAGUUAGUGUUUUAUAUUUAUAGUACAGUAUUUAUAUCAGAAAUAUAAUUUAUAUUUCCACACAAGUUCAAUUUUGUUUUUAAGUAAUAGUAUUUUAUAGCAUUUUGAUUUUGAUUGUUUUGUAAUUCAAAGCUGGCUUUGUCAUCAGCUUUUUGUCAUAUAUAGGAUAUUUCUAUGUUUCAGUGUACUAUCAAAAUACCUUUUGCCCAUUGAAUACUAGAUAGAUAUUUUCAGGAAUGGCCUAGCAAAAGGUAAAAAUGUAAAAUCUGGAGUUUACAAUUGAAAGCAAAUUUGAUUGUACAUACAAAAAAAAACACACAACGGAUUUUCUUUUUAUUUCAUGCUUUCAUUGGUUUAAGCUUUUAUCCACUUUUCAGUUCCAUACCAUUGAAAAAUAUAUAUGAUAUUUUUCUUUGAAUAAAGGAUUCCAGAUGUUUUUUUCACUGUGAAAUUACUGGACAUAUUUGACUGUUAAAUUUCAAAAACAAGUAAUGAAGUUUUUAUAUCAGUAUUUGAAUUAUGAACUUUUAUGACAACACUUUUGCACAAGAUGAAAAAUUGAUCUGUUUUGUCACUGCAAAUUGACUGAACUUAUUACCGUUUUCGGUAUGUUGUCUUCAAAUUGAAUAUCAGUUAUAGUUAACUGUGAAAUGACUGAAAUCAUUAAUAUUCAUAGGGGGGACUAAUUUUCAAGGAUUUCGUGGUUAUAUUUUAAUCCCAACGAACAAGUAAAAUUUCCUUUCAUUUUAUGAUCAAAAGUUGAAACCCACGAAUUCAAGUCCCCACAAAAUUGCCGUUUUGACCAAAACCACGAAAUUUCAUGCCCACAAAAUUAAAUGAUUUUACAGUAUAAUAUUUUGCAUUUAUUUAUUUGCAUCAUGAUACAAGGGUUUUGAUAUUUCAUUAGAUUAUCUAAGGUUUUUAAUUUGUUAGUUAUUAUAUGUUUAUACACUAGGUGUUGCUUGAUAUAUUAAAGUUUAGUGCAAAGUACA